UAAAUAAGCAGACCUUUAGUAGCCUUCUUAAGGACACAUCUUCCAUGUUUCCAUCUUUGAAGGGAAAUGAAGGACAAAUGAGGCUCAGGGAUGACACUUCCUUUGAAUGGGAUGAAUCACAGCAUGAGGGAUCUUCGGCUUGGGAGACAUCCUUACUCCCCUAUUGGAGAACCGGGCAUAAACAGGAAGAUCACAGUGGCACACCUCCAGCAAAUGUCCUCCAGAGGCAUUGUGCCCUGAUGGGAGGCGGCUGCAUGCAGAUGGUAGGGAGGUAUCUUAAGACAAUGCGGCACAGGGAUCCAUCCCCUGAGAACUGGAUGUGCAAGCAUGAAGUAGUGGAGUCCCUGCCUAUUACCUUGCUACGACAGGCAGGGAGACACACCUGAUGAAGAUACCUAUGGCAAUGAAAUGAAGUCGUAUUCUCAGACCUCAGUAAUGGCUGGUGACUUCCACAGCAGUUGCUGAUGCCAGAUCCCACCAGACACUCCUCAGCUUCCUUAAAAUCUCAUUCUCGCCGCCGUUUACAUGCCAUUUCCUCUUCAGUAUGAAUGCAGACCCACAGCAUCAUUCCAGACUGUGGGACCUAUCCUCGACGUUAAAAAUUGCUUAGUAAAACUGGGCAGCAGCAGCAGAAACCAAA